CUCGGCCUCUUUACGACUAAAAGCUUUCUUGGACUUUCCUGAUUUCCUGCAAAUACGGCCCUGCAAGACACAGAAAGAGGGAAAGAGUUGUAUUCAGUGGUAAGGACGGAUGAAAUGGCUACUUAUACCAUGUCUCAUACACCUCUGAUGUCAAAAAAUACCUUUGGGAAUCAAAUUUAAGAAUGUUCCACCCACGAGUUCAGAAACUGAAAGUAUUUCCUCAUUCUUCAGGGAGAGAGAUGUUGACAGAAUGAGUAGCCUGGACGCAGGGCUGACCGGCACCAGAUCAAUGUUUAAAAGGCAGAGAACGAGCUUUUAAGACGUCAGCUUCAAUCAGAAGCCAAAACCAGAAAGCAGCCGCUGCAAUAAAUGAUGGAAAAGCCGUACACGUGUGCGCAAACCUGGGACCAAGAAUAUACGUGAGGGAAACAUAAAUUCAGCAGAAUGAGGAGAGCUGCUGCUUCUACUGCUGUCGGCGGUGUUAAAGUCUUCCCUGAAGAAGCCUGCGUAGGCGGGCCAACAGAAAAGGAGACGACUGUCUCCGUGCUGCUAGGAGACAUCUAUGGCCAUGACAACAACGCUCUGAUUCAUACCAGCACCCACAGUUUUGCAUGUAUUAAAAAAAAUCACCUGUGCGCUUUUG